AUUGAACGCUGGCGGCAUGCCUUACACAUGCAAGUCGAACGGUAACGCGGGGCAACCUGGCGACGAGUGGCGAACGGGUGAGUAAUAUAUCGGAACGUGCCCAGUAGUGGGGGAUAGCCCGGCGAAAGCCGGAUUAAUACCGCAUACGACCUAAGGGUGAAAGGGGGGGAUCGCAAGACCUCUCGCUAUUGGAGCGGCCGAUAUCAGAUUAGCUAGUUGGUGGGGUAAAAGCCUACCAAGGCGACGAUCUGUAGCUGGUCUGAGAGGACGACCAGCCACACUGGGACUGAGACGCGGCCCAGACUCCUACGGGAGGCAGCAGUGGGGAAUUUUGGACAAUGGACGAAAGUCUGAUCCAGCCAUGCCGCGUGCGGGAAGAAGGCCUUCGGGUUGUAAACCGCUUUUGUCAGGGAAGAAAUCCCUUGGGAUAAUACCUCGGGGGGAUGACGGUACCCGAAGAAUAAGCACCGGCUAACUACGUGCCAGCCGCCGCAGUAA
rnacentral:rRNA from 1 species